rnacentral:rRNA from 1 species
ACGAUAACGGCGUCGAGCGGCGGACGGGUGAGUAAUGCCUAGGAAAUUGCCCUGAUGUGGGGGAUAACCAUUGGAAACGAUGGCUAAUACCGCAUGAUGCCUACGGGCCAAAGAGGGGGACCUUCGGGCCUCUCGCGUCAGGAUAUGCCUAGGUGGGAUUAGCUAGUUGGUGAGGUAAGGGCUCACCAAGGCGACGAUCCCUAGCUGGUCUGAGAGGAUGAUCAGCCACACUGGAACUGAGACACGGUCCAGACUCCUACGGGAGGCAGCAGUGGGGAAUAUUGCACAAUGGGCGCAAGCCUGAUGCAGCCAUGCCGCGUGUGUGAAGAAGGCCUUCGGGUUGUAAAGCACUUUCAGUCGUGAGGAAGGUAGUGUAGUUAAUAGCUGCAUUAUUUGACGUUAGCGACAGAAGAAGCACCGGCUAACUCCGUGCCAGCAGCCGCGGUAAUACGGAGGGUGCGAGCGUUAAUCGGAAUUACUGGGCGUAAAGCGCAUGCAGGUGGUUUGUUAAGUCAGAUGUGAAAGCCCGGGGCUCAACCUCGGAAUUGCAUUUGAAACUGGCAGACUAGAGUACUGUAGAGGGGGGUAGAAUUUCAGGUGUAGCGGUGAAAUGCGUAGAGAUCUGAAGGAAUACCGGUGGCGAAGGCGGCCCCCUGGACAGAUACUGACACUCAGAUGCGAAAGCGUGGGGAGCAAACAGGAUUAGAUACCCUGGUAGUCCACGCCGUAAACGAUGUCUACUUGGAGGUUGUGGCCUUGAGCCGUGGCUUUCGGAGCUAACGCGUUAAGUAGACCGCCUGGGGAGUACGGUCGCAAGAUUAAAACUCAAAUGAAUUGACGGGGGCCCGCACAAGCGGUGGAGCAUGUGGUUUAAUUCGAUGCAACGCGAAGAACCUUACCUACUCUUGACAUCCAGAGAACUUUCCAGAGAUGGAUUGGUGCCUUCGGGAACUCUGAGACAGGUGCUGCAUGGCUGUCGUCAGCUCGUGUUGUGAAAUGUUGGGUUAAGUCCCGCAACGAGCGCAACCCUUAUCCUUGUUUGCCAGCGAGUAAUGUCGGGAACUCCAGGG